CAUGAGAGGGGGGAGGGUUAGAGGGAGAAACAGGCUCCUUGCCAAGCAGGGAGCCCGAUGCGGGACUCUAUCCAGGGACUCCAGGAUCAUGACCCGAGCCGAAGGCAGUCGCCUAACCAACUGAGCCACCCAGGCGCCCUUCCUUUUCUUUUAAAGAUGUUUCUGUUCCUCUUCCCCUAGUCUGUUUCAUUUCUGUCUUAUCUCUAGGCUUAGGCCCCUCCACACGUGCAAGGACAAGAACCCUGUGAUUGGCCGGUAGAGGUGAUGCUUUCCUCAAGGAGCUAGGCCAGAGGUGUGUGCUGAGGCUGAGUGGCUUCAGUUGGGUCAGGGCCCCUGUAGAACAGGGUCACACUGUCCCAUUGUCUUGAAACUUUGUGGGUGAGAUUUCUCCUUUGCCCCACAGAGAGUUAGCAGCCUGGUGCUUCAAGAAGCUUCCAGAUGGGUCAGGCGAACAUCCUGCUGUGCCACGGUGACCUUGAUGUCAGGGCGCCCUGACAUGUGAGCCGGUUGAAGUCCCAGCCAAGGGCCUGAGGAGCGAAGGGCAGAUGAAGCCUAGAGGCUCGGAGAAAGGGCAGAUGAUUCAGAAAGUGACACUUGGAGUAGAAUUUUGCAGGCUCCUGUGCCUGACUGAUAGUAUUCCAGUUAAUGGCUGUGCCACAGUUUGUUUAUAUAUCCUCAGCUGAAGGAAAUUUGAGUUGUUUCCAGUCUGGGGAGAUGAUGAAUAAAGCUGCUAUGAACCUUUGUGUUCAGGUUGUUGUGUGAACUUAAGUGUUCAUGACUCUUGCAUCAUAUGAUGAAGAAACUGAAGCACAGAGAGGCUAAGUAACUUGAUGCUAAUAUGCAGAGUCCACACACUCAGCCCAAGGCAGAAUGAAGGAACAAAGGAAUAAGUGAAUGAAGACGUAAAGAAUUUAUUUCCACUGUGACAGCAGGUGUAAGUUGGUUGAAAAUAUGAAGCAGUCUUGAUUAGCUGGACCGAUACGUGUUAUAAAGAGUUACUUAACAUAUGUGGUCCUCAGCGGAGAGCAUGGGGAUCCAGUGAUGGGAAUUCCUGGAAGCAGAGGUGUUCCUGAGGGUGCCAGAAAAACUGAUGUGUCAAAUUUCAUUCAACAUCUUCUUCCUCAGCCUGGAUUUUUAUGGAUCUGCUCUACAUGCAACAAUUUUUACAUAGAGGUUUCUUCAGUGUAAUAGCUACUGAUAGGCUUUUCAACUCCAUUCUUUAAUUAUAUUGUCCACUGUACCAUCUCUGGGAAACUAGGGAAUUUUGGAGAAAGCUGAAAUUCAUUUCAAAAGUUAUGAAUCUUGUAUAAUUCAUUUAUU